rnacentral:rRNA from 1 species
UACAGAGGUCCCAAGCGUUGUUCGGAUUCAUUGGGCGUAAAGAGUGCGUAGGCGGCGCGGUAAGUCGGGUGUGAAAUCUCGGGGCUUAACUCCGAAACUGCAUUCGAUACUGCCGUGCUUGAGGACUGGAGAGGAGACUGGAAUUUACGGUGUAGCGGUGAAAUGCGUAGAUAUCGUAAGGAAGACCAGUGGCGAAGGCGGGUCUCUGGACAGUUCCUGACGCUGAGGCACGAAGGCCAGGGGAGCAAACGGG